rnacentral:lncRNA from 1 species
AAGGGCGGUGGGAAUUUUAAACCUGAAAACUGUAUAAAAGUGCAUGCUUUGCUAUGUUAUGUAUCUCAGCUUAUUUUGGCGAACUAUUACAGGCUGGAAUCACUUUCAGCUGAAAUUAAAUAAAAUACCUCGGUGGCUUCUGCUUUACUUGGGCCGUGGCUGGUGUGGCAUACAACUCAGCGUUCAGUUUUAAUGGUAAGAAUGACACUUCUCUUGAAUCUGAGAUGGACAAAAAGGCCAUUCUUGUUUGACAAAUUGACAAGGGACUUCAAAUGCUCAUUGGGGUUUGCAAAGGAGCCAUGACUCACAUCGUGUUUUGUGCAGCAUAACUGCAGUCUUUUGACUUCUGCUUUUUUGAGGGAUAUAAUAGGUCUAAGAACAAAUUUCAUAAUGUAAAACCACUGCCAAGAACCAUUGCUCCCUGCUUAGCACUGCAGUGGUUUCCUUUUUCAUUUUCUAGUUUCCACUUAAUUCUUUACUAGCUUCCUUGCCAGAAAAUAACUUCUUUUGGCAGAACAAUUAAGUCUCCAACCCUUAGAUUAAUCAUUUGAAAGCAAGAUUAACAUCAUGGUACUGACUAUCCAUAGUGGUAGGGCGGCAUACUGCUUACAGAAAAAAGCUAUGUUGAUGGUAGCAGUGUUGCUGGUAGGGUCUCUGUCAGACAAGCUUUGCUGAGGAGCCAGACUUAAUUUACAAAAUAGCUUACUUACUUAGGCAAUCCCUCAUUGUCCGAGUAUGAUGGCCUUCUAAGUGCAGUGUCUCAGUGGUGGGUACGUAGGUGACUGUA